rnacentral:rRNA from 1 species
CCUACGGGUGGCAGCAGUGAGGAAUAUUGGUCAAUGGACGAAAGUCUGAACCAGCCAAGUAGCGUGCAGGAUGACUGCCCUAUGAGUUGUAAACUGCUUUUAUAUGGGAAUAAACCAAGGUAUGCGUAUCCUCUUGUAUGUAUCAUAUGAAUAAGGAUCGGCUAACUCCGUGCCAGCAGCCGCGGUAAUACGGAGGAUCCGAGCGUUAUCCGGAUUUAUUGGGUUUAAAGGGUGCGUAGGUGGAUUGUUAAGUCAGUGGUGAAAGUUUGAGGCUCAACCGUAAAAUUGCAGUUGAUACUGGCAGUCUUGAGUACAGUAGAGGUGGGCGGAAUGCGUGGUGUAGCGGUGAAAUGCUUAGAUAUCACGAAGAACUCCGAUUGCGAAGGCAGCUCACUAGACUGCAACUGACACUGAUGCUCGAAAGUGUGGGUAUCAAACAGGAUUAGAUACCCUUGUAGUC